rnacentral:lncRNA from 1 species
UUUGUAUUCAAGUAUUGAUGUAGUUGACAGGGGGAGACCAUGUCUUGCAAUAAAUCGUAAAAAUACUUGAUUUUUAGUCAUGUGUACAUUACAUCAUACUUAUAUACAUGUCGAGGACAACUACUUUUUAUAUGACUUGGAUGCACAAUUAUCAUGUUCAUGAUGUUUCAUAAUGCUCAUUACAACAAAGAAAAAUGAAAAAUGACAAAAAAAAUCGCUUUUAGUUUAAAGAAACUUUUUUUUGAAGCGGGGA